ACACAAGGGUAGAGGUCAUACCCAGGGGUGAGGAAGAUGAUGGUGAGAGGAAGAUGCUGUGGGCAGGGGUCGCUGGCCCCUUGCCCUCCAAGUAGGGCAGGCCCAGACUGUUGCCAUCAGGCAAUGCUCAGGCGGGGUUUGGCUGCCAUUCAGGCCUCCCCUUACACUGCGUCCUGGCCCUACGUGGUGUAAUGUGGAGCUGAUAAAAAUGGGCUGUCAGGACUGCUGAGCUGAGCGAUCCUCAUCCUGCCACCCAGCCUGUGCUGCUCCGCGGGGACGCCCGCCAAGGGAUGGGCACCGACCAGCUGCUGCAGAUCCUGACAGCCCUGCCUGUCUGGGGGGUGGGCAGAGUUUAGUGAUGGGAAGCCACCGAGAAGGAAGACUUUAAAUAUCCUUUAGUGUUCCUUUAAUACCCUUUAUUUAGUAUUCAUAAUAUUUUCCCUUUAAUUUCCCCUUUUACUAACCAAAUAGCGUGUUAAUAGUGAUCCAUAAUAUUGUGUUAAGAUCCUUUUUGGUAUCCCUUUGACUCCCUUUUUACUAGUUAAUAUUAUACUGUAUUGAAUGCUGUUCUUAGUAUUUGUUUUAAUGCCACAUGCUAAGGUAGUUCAUUUGUAUCCUUUUUUUAACUUUUGAUUCUCUUUGCUAAGUUUAUUAUUAUUAUUAUUAUUAUUAUUCUCACUGCAAUAAAGAUAUUUUGUGUGUUUGAAUGUUUGUGGCACUUGUCUUUAUUCCGGGCAUGUAUCCCAACGAACUGUUACAGGUAGGAAGGAAGUGCCCUCAGGAUUUGGGAAUAGGAAGUUACUGGAAGCCAGCCCAAGAUAGACCCUGUUGGAGAAGUGGCUCUGAUGCACCGACUGAUAUCGUGGUGGAAAAAUAACACACUUCAGUAGUUGCUGUCUCUGGGAUCAAUGACAGGAAGGUGCUUCUCCCGUGUCUCUGCCCUGCCCAGGGAUCAAAGGAGCAAAGGAAAGGAUGAGAAGUUGGCUGAGAAUUGAGCCCCGGGGCUGCUGGCCCUGAGGAGCAGGUGCCCUGUCUGUCAGCAAAACA